UGUAUUUAAAUGAAAUGAAAUAACAAUAAAUAAAUAAAUUAAAAUAGAAAAUGAUAAUCUAUCCUCUAUGAUGAUGAUAGGUACAGUGAAGUUGUCAUCUGGUUCUAGAGAUUCGUGAGCGAAUCAAGGUAAGUAACCCUGGCAUUGAUCUUAUUAAUUUAAAAAUUACUGUUUAAUUGUAAUAAUAAAAUAAUAAAAAAUAUAUUUGUUAUGAUAUAUUUUUCUAAAAGUAGGAUCAAGCAUAUGAUUGCAUGUGAUUCAUGAGUUUGAUUAAAUUGCAUCCUUCAUAAAUAUUUGAGUAUGAAUUAUGGUUAUGAUAAAUUGCAUGAAAAUAAGAUUUGUAGCAUGAUCAUGAAUUUUAUACAUUACGAUGAAUUAUGGUUAUGAUAAAUUACAUGAAAAUGAGAUUUGUGGCAUGAUCAUGAAUUUUAUACAUUACGAUGCCAUUUGUCAUUUUUCAACCUAUGUAUGAAAGUAUGAUUUAUGAAAAAGAAUAAUGAUUUAUGAACUCUCAGAUAGCUAUGCCCACCUCUAGAAAUAGAGGUCAGUCGACCCCCCCUGGAGCUAGCAUCCAACGAAUAUGGCCCUCUGCCAACGGGUUAAAGUUGGUAACGAAUAUGAAUAAGUUAUAAAACUCGUCGACUACGAAUACGAGCCCUGUCACGGGAUUAUAGUGACCAUAGCAGCACAUCCGUCUGAG
rnacentral:lncRNA from 1 species